CAACGCCAACGGGUUCAGAGAAGAGCUUUGUGCUUCACAGCAGAGACUCAUUUUGUGACUCUGGAGUGCUUAGCACCUCCUCUUCUCCAGAAAUUGACCAUCUGAUAAUAAGAACAUGUAAAGAGCGGGCCAGAAAAGCUAGCCACCAUGGCCCAGAGAGUGAAAAGCAAGCUGAGUACUACAGCCAGGAGGUAGACGCUGUGCAGGUUCCUACAGCUUCCCCUGGAGACUUCAAUGUCCCUCAGGAAGGAGGAAGUCCCAAACAACAUUUUGACCAAAGCAAAAGGCAAUCUCUGGAAAAGCAACCUACCCAAGAGACGGACCUUCCCAGGGAAAACACACUUCCUACCCCCGCUCCUGUAGAAGAGAUAAAGACAAUUGCUGACCAUUACCCAGAGACCUUUGGCAGCAUGCAAGACCUUCAGAUCCAUGAACAUCAGCUGAAGAAGUACCCCACAAGUGACAGUCUGGAUGAAUACAUGGAUGAAUGCUGUAGACUGAGCGAGGUGAACCAAGGGAACAGCAAAGCCCUGGGAUCUGGCCUGGGAUACCUGGAACACAUUUGCCAACUGAUUGAGAAGAUUGGGCAGCUACAGGAGCACAACCUGCGGCUCCAAAAGCAAGUGUGCAGCUUGCAGAAAGAGCAGAAGAUGAGCCGAAUAAAGGAGGAGUACCUUUUGCAGCAUUGCUCCUGUGGAGCUGCCAACGUCUUCCUCAACUCGUACCAAGAGGUGAAGACAUUUUUUACUGGGAGGAGCAGACCUCACAGCCUCUUGGUUCAGACUGGAAAURCUUCAGAUCUUUCCAUCAUCCCAGAAAUAGGAGCGAACACUGAAAAGCUGAGCAGCUGCAGUGGAAAUGAGAGAUACCUGGAAUCAGGAAACAGCCAUCUGAUGAUAGGGCUCAGGAAGUCAUCGAACAAURGGAGCAACAAGGAGAAUGAGUUCAGAGAAGCCUGUGGCAUGGCUGAGGGACAAGCUUUUCCAUCAAAGGACUCCGCAGUAAAAAAGGGUCUGGACACCAGUAAGAACAUUUYGGGUGAAAGCCAUGCUUGGGGAAGAAUGAGAGAUCUUAUGAGGAAGACACGGCUGAGAAACCAGAGCAAGCUGGGGCUGUCCUCUGCUGCUCUGAAGAGCUCCUGCCCACAGCUGUACAGGCCAGAUAUAAUGUCUUCGGAGCUGAGGAAAACUGAGAGGAACUCCAUGAUUGUUCUGGGGCAAAAUAYAAAGAAUGAAAACAUAUGGCCUUUCUGAUAACUCAAGUCAAAUGGAACAAGAAAGAAAAGAGCAGGAACACCAAUGGACACAGAACUGGAAACGCCAGGGUUUCUUUGUGCAACCUGCAUCCUACAGCUGUCAACAAGGCAACUCUGAUUUGGUGUUGAAAGAGAAAGAGGGAGCAGGGAGGUUGAGAGAGGUUUGUGGAAAGAUGUGUGCUCAGCUGUGCAUGGCUUCACUCCCAACUCUGAAGAAUACUUACAAAACCAAACCACAUGAAAACUAUAGUCAGUGUUUCAGCAACAUAACCAAUAGGGACUUUUAAAUAAGAUUUGGUAAAUCUUUCUCUGCUCUGGGUUAGGAACAGAACUACCUGAAGUACUGAAGCUUUUAAAUUAUCAUUGCUUUCUGGGGAUCUUCUCCAGCUGAAAGAAGCUUAAGACUUACAGCAGACAGCAGUACCUGGAAAAGUGCCAAAGACUCCUUGUCUGGGGCAGUAAGAGUUGAUGGGGAGAACAGCUUCCUCCCUCUAGGGAGGUUUGAGUUGCAGUCUGCUCACACCUACAGCAGCUCCUGCCCUCAGAGCUGCUCCCAGCCAAUGAUGCAGGCUUGGUGGCAUCCAACAGAAGAACCAAGUCUGUGAAGCAAAGAUAUCUUAAGAGGCUGUUCCCAAAUCCACCCUUCUCUUCUAAUUCUGCAGGGGUGCUUCUUCUGUGAAGGCCCCUUGACUUCAGUACUGCCCCAUGCAAAAAUUGGGUUCAGUGUGGGCUCAUUGCAGCAAGCAGAGCAAGGGGCACCAUGGGAAUCAAUCUUUUGAGAGACCUGAGGGUGCAUCGAAGACAGUACCCAGCUCUCUGGCAGGCUGACCUGUUAAUCUCUCAGGGGACCAGGCUUGAAUUCCCACUUUUAAGUUACAAGUUAAGGACCCCUGGAGGCUGCAGUGGCCACCUGAUGGCGCAUGCUGGACCUGCACUCCCACUGCUAGAAAAGAGCACAGGGGAGAGCAAGGCUGCAAGGAAGAGUUAUUCAGCUAUAUGCAUACUUUCAAAGCUGCCUCUC
ensembl:lncRNA uncharacterized LOC112961010